rnacentral:misc_RNA from 1 species
AACUUUCAGCAACGGAUCUCUUGGUUCUGGCAUCGAUGAAGAACGCAGCGAAAUGCGAUAAGUAAUGUGAAUUGCCGAAUUCAGUGAAUCAUCGAAUCUUUGAACGCACAUUGCGCCCGCCAGUAUUCUGGCGGGCAUGCCUGUUCGAGCGUCAUUGCAACCAUCAAGCCCCAGGCUUGUGUUGGGGACCUGCGGCUGCCGCAGGCCCUGAAAAUCAGUGGCGGGCUCGCUAGUCUCUCCGAGCGUAGUAAUACAUCUCGCUCUGGACGUGCUGCGUGUUCCGGCCGUUAAACACAUUAUUUACCCAAGGUUGACCUCGGAUCAGGUAGGAAGACCCGCUGAACUUAAGCAUAUCAAUAAGCGGAGGCU